rnacentral:rRNA from 1 species
GGCCCUACGGGACGCAGCAGUGGGGAAUAUUGCACAAUGGGGGAAACCCUGAUGCAGCGACGCCGCGUGAAGGAUGAAGUAUUUCGGUAUGUAAACUUCUAUCAGCAGGGAAGGAAAUGACGGUACCUGACUAAGAAGCCCCGGCUAACUACGUGCCAGCAGCCGCGGUAAUACGUAGGGGGCAAGCGUUAUCCGGAUUUACUGGGUGUAAAGGGAGCGUAGACGGCGAGGCAAGUCUGGAGUGAAAGCCCGGGGCUCAACCCCGGGACUGCUUUGGAAACUGCCUGGCUGGAGUGCUGGAGAGG